rnacentral:rRNA from 1 species
CCUACGGGUGGCAGCAGUGGGGAAUAUUGCACAAUGGGCGCAAGCCUGAUGCAGCCAUGCCGCGUGUGUGAAGAAGGCCUUCGGGUUGUAAAGCACUUUCAGCGGGGAGGAAGGCGGUGAGGUUAAUAACCUCAUCGAUUGACGUUACCCGCAGAAGAAGCACCGGCUAACUCCGUGCCAGCAGCCGCGGUAAUACGGAGGGUGCAAGCGUUAAUCGGAAUUACUGGGCGUAAAGCGCACGCAGGCGGUCUGUCAAGUCGGAUGUGAAAUCCCCGGGCUCAACCUGGGAACUGCAUUCGAAACUGGCAGGCUAGAGUCUUGUAGAGGGGGGUAGAAUUCCAGGUGUAGCGGUGGAAUGCGUAGAGAUCUGGAGGAAUACCGGUGGCGAAGGCGGCCCCCUGGACAAAGACUGACGCUCAGGUGCGAAAGCGUGGGGAGCAAACAGGAUUAGAUACCCGGGUAGUC